GCCAGGGGUGGUGGCGGGUGCCUGUAGUCCCAGCUACUCAGGAGGUUGAGGUGGGAGGAUUGCUUGAGCCCAGGAGUUCUGGGCUGUAGUACGCUAUGCCGAUCAAGUGUCCGCACUAAGUUCGGCAUCAAUAUGGUGACCUCCUGGGAGCAGGGGACCACCAGAUUGCCUAAGGAGGGGUUAACCAGCCCAGGUUGGAAACGGAGCAGGCAAAACUGCCGCGCUGAGCAGUAGUGGGAUUGUGCCUGUGAAUAGCCACUGCACUCCAGCCUGGGCAACAUAGCAAGACCCCAUCUCU
rnacentral:SRP_RNA from 1 species